rnacentral:ncRNA from 1 species
GGUUAAGCGACUAAGCGUACACGGUGGAUGCCCUGGCAGUCAGAGGCGAUGAAGGACGUGCUAAUCUGCGUAAAGCGUCGGUAAGGUGAUAUGAACCGCUACAGCCGACGAUGUCCGAAUGGGGAAACCCGGUGCACUCAGUGCAUCAUCGCAACAUGAAUACAUAGUGUUGCGAGGCGAACCCGGGGAACUGAAACAUCUAAGUACCCGGAGGAAAAGAAAUCAACCGAGAUUCCCCCAGUAGCGGCGAGCGAACGGGGAACAGCCCAGAACCUGAAUCAGUUUGUGCGUUAGUGGAAGCGUCUGGAAAGUCGCGCGAUACCGGGUGACAGCCCCGUACACGAAAGUGCACAGAUUGUGAGUUCGAAGAGUAGGGCGGGACACGUGGUAUCCUGUCUGAAUAUGGGGGGACCAUCCUCCAAG